rnacentral:rRNA from 2 species
UCCACCGAAUGACUAAGGUUUCCUGGGGAAGGCUCGUCCUCCCAGGGUUAGUCGGGACCUAAGUCGAGGCCGAGAGGCGUAGACGAUGGAUAACAGGUUGAGAUUCCUGUACUAGUUAAGUGCGUUUGAGCAAUGGAGGGACGCAGGAGGCUAAGAUGUGCAUUCUGUUGGAUUAGAAUGUCCAAGCAGUAAGUCUUGUGGAGAGUCAAAUGCUUUUCACUUUAAGGACAAGCUGUGAUGGGGAGCGAAAUUUAGUAGCGAAGCGUCUGAUGUCACACUGCCGAGAAAAGCUUCUAGUGAGUACUUAACUACCCGUACCGCAAACCGACACAGGUAGUCGAGGAGAGAAUCCUAAGGUGAGCGAGUGAACUCUCGUUAAGGAACUCGGCAAAAUGACCCCG